GAUGAACGCUGGCGGCGUGCUUAACACAUGCAAGUCGAACGAUGAAGCCCAGCUUGCUGGGUGGAUUAGUGGCGAACGGGUGAGUAACACGUGAGUAACCUGCCCUUAACUCUGGGAUAAGCCUGGGAAACUGGGUCUAAUACCGGAUAGGAGCGUCCACCGCAUGGUGGGUGUUGGAAAGAUUUAUCGGUUUUGGAUGGACUCGCGGCCUAUCAGCUUGUUGGUGAGGUAAUGGCUCACCAAGGCGACGACGGGUAGCCGGCCUGAGAGGGUGACCGGCCACACUGGGACUGAGACACGGCCCAGACUCCUACGGGAGGCAGCAGUGGGGAAUAUUGCACGAUGGGCGCAAGCCUGAUGCAGCGACGCCGCGUGAGGGAUGACGGCCUUCGGGUUGUAAACCUCUUUCAGUAGGGAAGAAGCGAAAGUGACGGUACCUGCAGAAGAAGCACCGGCUAACUACGUGCCAGCAGCCGCGGUAAUACGUAGGGUGCGAGCGUUAUCCGGGAUUAUUGGGCGUAAAGAGCUCGUAGGCGGUUUGUCGCGUCUGUCGUGAAAGUCCGGGGCUUACCCCGGAUCUGCGGUGGGUACGGGCAGACUAGAGUGCAGUAGGGGAGACUGGAAUUCCUGGUGUAGCGGUGGAAUGCGCAGAUAUCAGGAGGAACACCGAUGGCGAAGGCAGGUCUCUGGGCUGUAACUGACGCUGAGGAGCGAAAGCAUGGGGAGCGAACAGGAUUAGAUACCCUGGUAGUCCAUGCCGUAAACGUUGGGCACUAGGUGUGGGGACCAUUCCACGGUUUCCGCGCCGCAGCUAACGCAUUAAGUGCCCCGCCUGGGGAGUACGGCCGCAAGGCUAAAACUCAAAGGAAUUGACGGGGGCCCGCACAAGCGGCGGAGCAUGUGGAUUAAUUCGAUGCAACGCGAAGAACCUUACCAAGGCUUGACAUGUUCUCGAUCGCCGUAGAGAUACGGUUUCCCCUUUGGGGCGGGUUCACAGGUGGUGCAUGGUUGUCGUCAGCUCGUGUCGUGAGAUGUUGGGUUAAGUCCCGCAACGAGCGCAACCCUCGUUCCAUGUUGCCAGCACGUAAUGGUGGGGACUCAUGGGAGACUGCCGGGGUCAACUCGGAGGAAGGUGAGGACGACGUCAAAUCAUCAUGCCCCUUAUGUCUUGGGCUUCACGCAUGCUACAAUGGCCGGUACAAUGGGUUGCGAUACCGUGAGGUGGAGCUAAUCCCAAAAAGCCGGUCUCAGUUCGGAUUGGGGUCUGCAACUCGACCCCAUGAAGUCGGAGUCGCUAGUAAUCGCAGAUCAGCAACGCUGCGGUGAAUACGUUCCCGGGCCU
rnacentral:rRNA from 1 species